ACCGCUUCUCAGCCUUUUGGCUAAGAUCAAGUGGACUAUCUGUUCUUAUCAGUUUAAUAAAGUGAGACAUGUUAUGCACAAAGCAAGCCUAUCUUAUCACUU
rnacentral:snRNA from 2 species